AUGAUAUCCAAGAACUCGUAGCCGGCGCUUAAUAAACGGGCAACAACACAUUUCUUUUUUUACGGAUUCAGUUUUGGCGCUGCUGGCGGAUAGUGCUGAUGUUUCGCGUUUUACAAGAUUACUCGUCGUGUUUGUCUGCUCUUUUCUCUUUUUUGCUGUCUAACUCUAUUGCAAAAAUAUCGCUCGUUCGUCGUCAACACGACUAUUUCGAGCAAGCGGCCAGACGAAAAAUUUCUGGACCGUUUCUUAAAUGUUAGCGACCUCUUUCAUGACGCGUAGUAAUCCGACUUCCUCAUGUUUCUGUGCCCCGGAUUCCCGUGAACGGUGCGCAGUUAAGGAGAUUGGACGAGAGUAUCCGGCAGCCGAAGAAACUGUACAGAGGAGUAUUACGUGGCAUCCCGUAUCAGAGGACGUGAUUAUUAAGGCCAACGGCAGUUAAACUUUGAUGAACAUUUUUCAACUAAUGCGUACUGCCCUAUACACUGGGCAAUACUUGAUACUGGUCAAUAAAUCCAAAUAGAGAUUAUAAAACCAGUUUUUUCCACCAAAAUUAAGGGGUGGUGACACUGUGAAGAACUAACUAGAGCAAUCUAAGAUUUUGUUUUUCAAGUCGUUGGGGGGUGAACCGUCGAUUACUACGAUGACGAGAUUUGAUUUAUUUGUUUACAGGAAACGAGGACGACGUGGGAGGCGGGGCCAACUUGACAAGCCCACGGUCAAUCACUUUUGCCUGAGCUAGUGAGCACACAAUGUCUCAAGAACGUCGUACAGUAUGUUGCAGGAAAUGUUUCCUACCCGUCAAAUAAGUUAAAUGGACAAAGGGGGACACUUUCCUGCAAUUUACUAUAGCCAAUCAUUGGUUAGCUAUGUGCAUUUCUAGAUCGGCUCCAAGAAAGUCAAUUAACCAAUAUUUUCAAAUACUUAAUUGAAGUUUUCAAGUGUUAUAUAUGUUCAAUUUUGUUAUAGACACUUGACUUAUUUUUACUCUGGCACGCGUUGUUGUGCUGUUUGACAAUGAACCACGUAUGAAAUCGCCAAUUCAAAUCAUAAACUUCGUCUUUAAUUAAUUCCUUGGUCGUUGGCUGAUCGUUCAACUUCAAUUUUCCAAUUUAAA